rnacentral:rRNA from 1 species
ACCCCGCACAAGCGGUGGAUCAUGUUGUUUAAUUCGAUGAUACGCGAAGAACCUUACCAGGUCUUGACAUCCCCCGCGAUGCUUUAGAGAUAAAGCGGAGGUAUUCGGGGAGACAGGUGGUGCAUGGUUGUCGUCAGCUCGUGUCGUGAGAUGUUGGGUUAAGUCCCGCAACGAGCGCAACCCCUAUUGCUAGUUACCAUCAUUAAGUUGGGGACUCUAGCGAGACUGCCAGUGAUAAACUGGAGGAAGGUGGGGAUGACGUCAAAUCAUCAUGCCCCUUAUGACCUGGGCUACAAACGUGAUACAAUGGCUGGAACAAAGGGAUGCGAAGCAGUGAUGUGGAGCGAAACCCAUAAAAACAGUCUCAGUUCGGAUUGAAGUCUGCAACUCGACUUCAUGGAGUCGGAAUCGCUAGUAAUCGCGGAUCAGAACGCCGCGGUGAAUACGUUCUCGGGGUUU